AUUCCUGUUGUCACUGGACAAGAGCAUUGUGUGGGAGCUCCACAACAUAUUGUGGAACGUGGAGAAAUCCCUGAGAGUGAGACGAAGGCCACAGCAGAUGACAAUAAGCCAGCUGGCUGCAUUUCAGAGGACCGCUGUGAAUCUGCCAGUGCUAAUGCCAUAAAGGAAGUAGACCCAGACUGUGGGGAAUCUUUUGAGCCUUCUCGUCGAUGUCUUCAGAAUGUUACCAGCACAGCAUGCUCCGGCCUCAGCACUGGGAUAACAAUUGUUCACCCAGCACGUGAAAGGCCACUACCUCUGAAACACAGGCAACAUGA